GAAUGGCUCAGCGGGAGAGCAUCGGCUUGCAAGCCGAGGGUCAUCGGUUCGAUCCCGAUAUCCUCCA
rnacentral:tRNA from 1 species